GCGUUAGUAGCAUUUCACACGGGCCUUCUAAGCCCGGGGUCGGGGGUUCGAGCCCCUCCUGCCGCGCCA
rnacentral:tRNA from 1 species